ACCUGGGUAGCUCAGUUGGUAGAGCAUCAGAUUUUUAAUCUGAGAAUCCAGUGUUCAAGUCACUGUUUGGGCA